ACGGAAGGCAGCAGUGGGGAAUAUUGCACAAUGGGGGAAACCCUGAUGCAGCGACGCCGCGUGAGUGAAGAAGUAUUUCGGUAUGUAAAGCUCUGUCAGCAGGAAAGAAAAUGACGGUACCUGACUAAGAAGCCCCGGCUAACUACGUGCCAGCAGCCGCGGUAAUACGUAGGGGGCAAGCGUUAUCCGGAUUUACUGGGUGUAAAGGGAGCGUAGACGGCUUUGCAAGUCUGAAGUGAAAGCCCGGGGCUCAACCCCGGAACUGCUUUGGAAACUGUAGAGCUAGAGUGCAGGAGAGGUAAGUGGAAUUCCUAGUGUAGCGGUGAAAUGCGUAGAUAUUAGGAGGAACACCAGUGGCGAAGGCGGCUUACUGGACUGUAACUGACGUUGAGGCUCGAAGGCGUGGGGAGCAAACAGGAUUAGAUACCCUGGUA
rnacentral:rRNA from 1 species